GUUUUUCCAUUUGUUUUCACUUUUUGCUUUUUGCAUGAAAUCAGUGAUCACAAAAAAACAUGAAAAACAAAAACAGCUUUUUCAUCUGCAUAAUUGAUUUGCUUGUUUAAAUUCAAAAGCUUUUCAUUAUCCAGAAUCAUUAUGCAGGGAUUUCUAAACCCAUUGAACAUAAUGAUCCAACGCCAUCUCCUAAUCUUGAAGUCCUUGUAUCUGAGGCAGAGGAAGAUGAUGUUGAAGGGGAUUCCUGACGAGAUUAUCCGCCUUCUUGAGCACCAAAGAAGCUCAUUCAGCUGUAUCAUGAGAAUCAGCAAAACAGUCAAACUGGG
rnacentral:lncRNA from 1 species